rfam:Picea glauca, whole genome shotgun sequence.
ACAUGCCUACAUCAUACCGUAAUGCACCAGAUCCCAUUAGAACUCCACAGUUAAGCGCGCUCAGGCUAGAUUAGUACUGGGAUGGGUGACCUCUUGGGAAAUCCUAGUGUUUUACAUGCC